UAAUACAGAGGGUGCGAGCGUUAAUCGGAAUUACUGGGCGUAAAGGGUGUGUAGGUGGAUAGGUAAGUUAGAUGUGAAAUCCCCGGGCUUAACCUGGGAACUGCGUUUAAAACUGCUUGUCUAGAGUAAUGUAGAGGAUAGUGGAAUUUCCAGUGUAGCGGUGAAAUGCGUAGAUAUUGGAAGGAACACCAGUGGCGAAGGCGACUAUCUGGACAGAUACUGACACUGAGACACGAAAGCGUGGGGAGCAAACAGGAUUAGAUACCCUGGUAGUCCAUGCUGUAAACUAUGAGAACUUGCUGUUGGAUGCAUAAAGGCAUUUAGUAGCGAAGCUAACGCGUUAAGUUCUCCGCCUGGGGAGUACGGCCGCAAGGCUA
rnacentral:rRNA from 1 species